UACGAAGGGGGCUAGCGUUGCUCGGAAUCACUGGGCGUAAAGGGUGCGUAGGCGGGUCUUUUAAGUCAGGGGUGAAAUCCUGGAGCUCAACUCCAGAACUGCCUUUGAUACUGAAGAUCUUGAGUUCGGGAGAGGUGAGUGGAACUGCGAGUGUAGAGGUGAAAUUCGUAGAUAUUCGCAAGAACACCAGUGGCGAAGGCGGCUCACUGGCCCGAUACUGACGCUGAGGCACGGAAAGCGUGGGGAGGCAAACAGGG
rnacentral:rRNA from 1 species